AUUGAACGCUGGCGGCAUGCUUUACACAUGCAAGUCGAACGGCAGCACGAAAGGGCUUGCUCUUUUGGUGGCGAGUGGCGAACGGGUGAGUAAUGCAUCGGAACGUACCGAGUAAUGGGGGAUAACUGUCCGAAAGGAUAGCUAAUACCGCAUACGCUUUGAGAAGGAAAGUGGGGGCUCUUCGGACCUCACGUUAUUCGAGCGGCCGAUGUCUGAUUAGCUAGUUGGUGGGGUAAGGGCCUACCAAGGCGACGAUCAGUAGCGGGUCUGAGAGGAUGAUCCGCCACACUGGGACUGAGACACGGCCCAGACUCCUACGGGAGGCAGCAGUGGGGAAUUUUGGACAAUGGGCGCAAGCCUGAUCCAGCCAUGCCGCGUGUCUGAAGAAGGCCUUCGGGUUGUAAAGGACUUUUGUUAGGGAAGAAAAGGAUAGUGUUAAUACCAUUAUCUGCUGACGGUACCUAAAGAAUAAGCACCGGCUAACUACGUG
rnacentral:rRNA from 1 species